GAUGAACGCUGGCUGCGUGCCUAAUCCAUGCAAGUCGAGCGAACGUACGAGAAGCUUGCUUCUCUGAUUUUAGCGGCGGACGGGUGAGUAACAUGUGGAUAACCUACCUAUAAGACUGGGCUAACUUCGGGAAACCUGAGCUACUACCGGAUAAUAUUUUGAACCGCAUGGUUCAAUAGUGAAAUACGGUCUUGCUGUCACUUAUAGAUGGAUCCGCGCUGCAUUCGCUAGUUGGUAAGGUAACGGCUUACCAAGGCAACGAUGCAUAGCAGACCUGAGAGGGUGAUACGCCCCACUGGAACUGCACCACGGUCCAGACUCCUACGGGAGGCAGCAGUAGGCAAUCUUCCGCAAUGGGCGGAAGCCUGACGGAGCAACGCCGCGUGAGUGAUGAAGGUCUUCGGAUCGUAAAACUCUGUUAUUAGGGAAGAACAUAUGUGUAAGCAACUGUGCACAUCUUGACGGUACCUAAUCAGAAAGCCACGGCUAACUCCGUG
rnacentral:rRNA from 1 species